AUUGAACGCUGGCGGCAGGCCUAACACAUGCAAGUCGGACGGUAGCACAGAGAGCUUGCUCUUGGGUGACGAGUGGCGGACGGGUGAGUAAUGUCUGGGGAUCUGCCCGAUAGAGGGGGAUAACCACUGGAAACGGUGGCUAAUACCGCAUAACGUCGCAAGACCAAAGAGGGGGACCUUCGGGCCUCUCACUAUCGGAUGAACCCAGAUGGGAAUAGCUAGUAGGCGGGGUAAUGGCCCACCUAGGCGACGAUCCCUAGCUGGUCUGAGAGGAUGACCAGCCACACUGGAACUGAGACACGGUCCAGACUCCUACGGGAGGCAGCAGUGGGGAAUAUUGCGCAAUGGGCGCAAGCCUGAUGCAGCCAUGCCGCGUGUAUGAAGAAGGCCUUCGGGUUGUAAAGUACUUUCAGCGGGGAGGAAGGCGACGCGGUUAAUAACCGCGUCGAUUGACGUUACCCGCAGAAGAAGCACCGGCUAACUCCGUGCCAGCAGCAGCCGCGG
rnacentral:rRNA from 1 species